rnacentral:rRNA from 1 species
UACAGAGGGGGCAAGCGUUGUUCGGAAUUACUGGGCGUAAAGGGCGCGUAGGCGGCCCGCUAAGUCGAACGUGAAAUCCCCGGGCUCAACCCGGGAACUGCGUCCGAUACUGGCGGGCUUGAAUCCGGGAGAGGGAUGCGGAAUUCCAGGUGUAGCGGUGAAAUGCGUAGAUAUCGAGAGGAACACCAGUGGCGAAGGCGAGUCCCUGGACAGGUCCUGACGCUGAGGCACGAAAGCUAGGGGAGCAAACAGG